rnacentral:rRNA from 1 species
UACGUAGGGCGCAAGCGUUAUCCGGAAUUAUUGGGCGUAAAGAGCUCGUAGGCGGUUUGUCGCGUCUGCCGUGAAAGUCCGGGCUCAACUCCGGAUCUGCGGUGGGUACGGCAGACUAGAGUGAUGUAGGGAGACUGGAAUUCCUGGUGUAGCGGUGAAAUGCGCAGAUAUCAGGAGGAACACCGAUGGCGAAGGCAGGUCUCUGGGCAACAACUGACGCUGAGGAGCGAAAGCGUGGGAGCGAACCGG